rnacentral:rRNA from 1 species
AAACUUGAGAGUUUGAUCAUGGCUCAGAACGAACGCUGGCGGCAGGCCUAACACAUGCAAGUCAAACGGGUGUAGCAAUACACUAGUGGCGCACGGGAGAGUAACGCGUGGGAACCUACCUUUUGGUUCGGAAUAACAUCGGGAAACUGGUGCUAAUACCGGAUAAGCCUUUCGAGGGAAAGAUUUAUCGCCGAAAGAUGGGCCCGCGUAGGAUUAGCUAGUUGGUGAGGUAAUGGCUCACCAAGGCUACGAUCCUUAGCUGGUCUGAGAGGAUGAUCAGCCUCACUGGGACUGAGACACGGCCCAGACUCCUACGGGAGGCAGCAGUGGGGAAUAUUGGACAAUGGGCGAAAGCCUGAUCCAGCCAUGCCGCGUGAAUGAUGAAGGCCUUCGGGUUGUAAAGUUCUUUUGACGGGGACGAUGAUGACGGUACCCGUAGAAGAAGCCCCGGCUAACUUCGUGCCAGCAGCCGCGGUAA